CCUACGGGAGGCAGCAGUGGGGAAUAUUGGACAAUGGGCGCAAGCCUGAUCCAGCCAUACCGCGUGUGUGAAGAAGGCCUUUUGGUUGUAAAGCACUUUAAGCGAGGAGGAGGCUCUUGAGGAUAAUACCCUUGAUGAGUGGACGUUACUCGCAGAAUAAGCACCGGCUAACUCUGUGCCAGCAGCCGCGGUAAUACAGAGGGUGCGAGCGUUAAUCGGAAUUACUGGGCGUAAAGCGCGCGUAGGCGGCUUGUUAAGUCGGAUGUGAAAUCCCCGGGCUCAACCUGGGCACUGCAUUCGAUACUGGCAAGCUAGAGUAUGGGAGAGGAAGGUAGAAUUCCAGGUGUAGCGGUGAAAUGCGUAGAGAUCUGGAGGAAUACCGAUGGCGAAGGCAGCCUUCUGGCCUAAUACUGACGCUGAGGUGCGAAAGCAUGGGGAGCAAACAGGAUUAGAUACCCUGGUAGUCCAUGCCGUAAACGNUGUACAACUAGCCGUUGGGACCUUGAGUUCGUUUAGNGGCGCGNGCGUAACGUACGAGUUAAGUUAGUACCGCCGUUGGGUAGGUUACGGUUCGGCGAGACGUUAAACGUUACGAAGGAAGUUAGACGGACGUUGAGGACGUUGACCGACGGACGACGACGAGGGAGGUAGG
rnacentral:rRNA from 1 species